ACUGCUUUGGCCCUUCCUAUUCGCCACUCUAGAAAGAUUUGGAUUCCCACAAACAUUCAUAACCGCUCUGCAAGUACUAUACGCCACCCCACAAGCCCAUCUCCUACUUCUUCUAAUACACCCCCCCUUCUCAAUUCAUAAUGGCACAUGCCAGGGAUGCCCUCUGUCCCCAAUCCUCUUCGCGCUCUCCCUUGAACCGCUCCUACAAACACUCAGAAUGGACACAGACAUAAAAGGCCUAAAGAUUUGUGAAGAAGAGUAC